ensembl:lncRNA
GUGGAUUUGCAGCAGAAACACCCUGCUAAAGAACAAGUAUCUUGAUUCACAGCAAAGAAGACAAAGAAAAACAGCAAGUUCUAGGGGGUUGAAUCCUGGAUUGACAGACCAUAUACUAUGAACUUGGUGAACUAGGAAAUUUCACACAAUAUGUGAGUAUGUCAGCUGGUAUUAUACUGAUUUCGUAGUUCCAAGGUGCUGAGUUUGCUCUCUCCAAGGCCAGCUGACCAGCUAGGUGGCAGAAGAAAGGUUUUUAUGAAGCCUUAGCUUUCACCCACCCCUUUCACAAUACUGUUUUUGAAAUAAAUACCAGGACAAAACAAGUAGAAUUUCACUUUCAGAUGAUAUUUUCUUUCUGCCUCUCUUCAAUCAGUGGUUUGCUGGUUUGUUAACAUUGUCUUCUCGUGGGAUAAAAGUGAAUGUGGGUCUCAGGCAAUCACUUGAAGGCCUUGAUUAAAACUGACUGACCUCCUGGAAGAAGAGGGAAUUCUGGCAGCAAACUGCCUUUGGACUUGAAUCGUGGCUCUGGCCUGAGUCUCCAGCCUAUUGUCCCACCCUGCAAGUUUUGAACUGGCCAACGCUCCACAAUUUAAGCAGUUAAUCAGCCCACUCUCUUUCUUCACAUCCUGUUAUCUUGGUUUCUCUGGAGAACCAUUACAAACACACAUAUAAACAGAAAAUCAUUUGGUUAAG